rnacentral:rRNA from 1 species
UACAGAGGGUGCAAGCGUUGUUCGGAAUUAUUGGGCGUAAAGGGCGCGUAGGCGGCCAUUCAAGUGACGGGUGAAAGCCCUCGGCUUAACCGAGGAACUGCCUGUCAGGCUGGAUGGCUUGAGACCGGGAGAGGUGAGUGGAAUUCCCAGUGUAGCGGUGAAAUGCGUAGAUAUUGGGAGGAACACCAGUGGCGAAGGCGGCUCACUGGACCGGAACUGACGCUGAGGCGCGAAAGCUAGGGGAGCAAACAGGAUUAGAAACCCCAGUAGU